CAAUAGCGUAUAUUAAAGUUGCUGCAGUUAAAAAGCUCGUAGUUGCAUUUCCGAGGCAAGGGAUUAGUCCGACCUUUGGUGGGUAUUUAAUCCUCUUGCCUCGUCCUUGAGUGGUGCUUCUUGGUAUUAAGUUAUCGAGGAGAUAGCCGCUCAUCGUUUACUGUGAGAAAAUUAGAGUGUUCAAAGCAGGCUUAUGCCAUUGAAUAUAUUAGCAUGGAAUAAUAAGAUAGGACCUCGGUACUAUUUUGUUGGUUUGAGAACCAAGGUAAUGAUGAAUAGGGACAGUUGGGGGUAUUCGUAUUCAGUUGUCAGAGGUGAAAUUCUUAGAUUUACGGAAGACGAACUACUGCGAAAGCAUUUACCAAGGAUGUUUUCAUUA
rnacentral:rRNA from 1 species